rnacentral:lncRNA from 1 species
CUUUUUCAAAAUGUUCUUCAAAUUACAAAUAAUACAAAUAGACAGUUUAUUUCUUUUUCAGAACUUUCUUUAAGUUACAAAUAAUACAAAUAGACGCCAACAAGGGUUGGUUGAGUUCGUAAGGAUCGGUCUCUUUGUUUAUUAGUAAAAACUAACAUAAAGACUAAGACUCAUUCUGUAAGUCCUCAAAAAAACCUUGAUAUAUCCUAGUUAGAAUAGGAUAGCUCCCUUUCCCCUAACACCAAAAUAAAGAAUAAUACAAAUGGAUACAUUUUAACUAGAUUUGGUGGAGUGUGCCAAGCCCAUGCAAUAUUGCAACGCUUGGGCGACACUUGAGAGCCCCAAUAGCAAUCUAUUAUGGUGGAACCUCUUCCUAAAAAAAUUAAUUUAAUAUCAUGUGAGCCAUUCGCCCACGUAUCAGAUAUUAAACUGAUAAGAACAGAUACUACACUUGAUCUUAGCCAAAAGGCCGAGAAAGGUAUGCUUAUCUUCAU